rnacentral:rRNA from 1 species
AAAUUUGAAAUCUGGCUCUUUUAGGGUCCGAGUUGUAAUUUGUAGAAGAUGCUUCGAGUGUAGCUCCGGUCUAAGUUCCUUGGAACAGGACGUCAUAGAGGGUGAGAAUCCCGUAUGUGACUGGCGGCUUUCGCUCAUGUGAAGCUCUUUCGACGAGUCGAGUUGUUUGGGAAUGCAGCUCUAAAUGGGAGGUAUAUUUCUUCUAAAGCUAAAUAUUGGCCAGAGACCGAUAGCGCACAAGUAGAGUGAUCGAAAGAUGAAAAGCACUUUGGAAAGAGAGUUAAACAGUACGUGAAAUUGUUGAAAGGGAAGCGCUUGCAACCAGACUUGCAUGCCGUCGAUCAUCGUGGGUUCUCCCGCGUGCACUCGGCGGCGUUCAGGCCAGCAUCGGUUUUGGUGGUUGGAUAAAGGCCUUGGGAAUGUGGCUCCUUUCGGGGAGUGUUAUAGCCCUCGGUGCAAUGCAGCCUACCGGGACCGAGGACCGCGCUUCGGCUAGGAUGCUGGCGUAAUGGUUGUAAGCGACCCGUCUUGAAACACGGACCAAGGAGUCUAACAUCUAUGCGAGUGUUUGGGUGUUAAACCCAUACGCGGAAUUAACGUGAACGGAGGUACGAACCCUUUAGGGCGCAGUAUCGACCGGUCCUGAUGUCUUCGGAUGGAUCUGAGUAAGAGCAUAGCUGUUGGGACCCGAAAGAUGGUGAACUAUGCCUAAAUAGGGUGAAGCCAGAGGAAACUCUGGUGGAGGCUCGCAGCGGUUCUGACGUGCAAAUCGAUCGUCAAAUU